CCCCAAAGCAACCAGAGCUGCUGUUCAGAAGACUGAAGUUUUGGUGGAGAGGUCCAAUAAGACGGGCACUCUCAGCAGUAAAUGUGUUGUAUGCAAAUGUCACGUUCAUCUGGUCCAACGGCACUUUAUCGAGGGGAAGCUUUACCACAGGAGCUGCUUCAAGUGCAGUGAAUGCUCCAUCGUCCUCCUGGCUGGGGCCUAUAAACCAGGGAAGGAGCCAGGUAUCUUCAUCUGUAAUGAUGACCAGAACACUAAGAAUGGCUGCAACGAGCCUCCCUCUGGGGUUGUCAUAAAAACCGGAUGCCCAAGCGCCAAAGUUGAAUCCAAAAGUUACACCAGCAGAGUCCAGUCUGUCUCCUGCUCCACCUCUGUGCCUUCGACCCCCAUCAAGGUGGUCUUGAAGCCUGUGGAGACCACCACCCCAGCUCCCCAACCCUGGACCAGCUCGGCCCAGAGAACCCAGGCAGCACGGCAAAGGUUCUUCCAGUCAUCUACCUCAACCUCCAGCAGCCAGAAGCCCCCAGCCCCCUCAGGACU